rnacentral:rRNA from 1 species
AAUGAACGUUGGCGGCGUGGAUUAGGCAUGCAAGUCGUGCGAUAACCGUAGCAAUACGGGGAAAGUGGCGAAAGGGAGAGUAACGCGUGGGUACCUACCCCCUGGUCUGGGAUAGCCGCGGGAAACUGCGGGUAAUACCGGAUGAAGUCUCCGGACCAAAGGUGUGAUUCCGCCGGGGGAUGGGCCCGCGGCCUAUCAGCUUGUUGGCAGGGGAAUGGCCUACCAAGGCGAUGACGGGUACGAGGUGUGAGAGCAUGACCUCGCUCGCUGGGGCUGAGACCAUGCCCAGACACCUACGGGUGGCUGCAGUCGAGAAUCUUCGGCAAUGGGCGCAAGCCUGACCGAGCGACGCCGCGUGCGGGAUGAAGGCCCUCGGGUUGUAAACCGCUGUCGGAGGGGAGGAAGUGCCGGGAAGUAAUUCAUAAUCAACCCGGUUUCACCUAUCCUCAAAGGAAGUACGGGCUAAGUUCGUGCCAGCAGCCGCGGUAACAC